UAACGCGUGGGUAACCUGCCUCAUACAGGGGGAUAACAGUUAGAAAUGACUGCUAAUACCGCAUAAGACCACGGUACCGCAUGGUACAGUGGUAAAAACUCCGGUGGUAUGAGAUGGACCCGCGUCUGAUUAGGUAGUUGGUGGGGUAACGGCCUACCAAGCCGACGAUCAGUAGCCGACCUGAGAGGGUGACCGGCCACAUUGGGACUGAGACACGGCCCAGACUCCUACGGGAGGCAGCAGUGGGGAAUAUUGCACAAUGGAGGAAACUCUGAUGCAGCGACGCCGCGUGAAGGAUGAAGUAUUUCGGUAUGUAAACUUCUAUCNNNAGGGAAGAAAAUGACGGUACCUGACUAAGAAGCCCCGGCUAACUACGUGCCAGCAGCCGCGGUAAUACGUAGGGGGCAAGCGUUAUCCGGAUUUACUGGGUGUAAAGGGAGCGUAGACGGCACGGCAAGCCAGAUGUGAAAGCCCGGGGCUCAACCCCGGGACUGCAUUUGGAACUGCUGAGCUAGAGUGUCGGAGAGGCAAGUGGAAUUCCUAGUGUAGCGGUGAAAUGCGUAGAUAUUANGAGGAACACCAGUGGCGAAGGCGGCUUGCUGGACGAUGACUGACGUUGAGGCUCGAAAGCGUGGGGAGNAAACAGGAUUAGAUACCCUGGNUAGUCCACGCCGUAAACGAUGACUGCUAGGUGU
rnacentral:rRNA from 1 species